CCCUACGGGGUGCACCAGGCGCGAAAACUUUACAAUGCGGGCAACCGUGAUAAGGAAACCCCGAGUGCCACCACAGGAUGGCUGUCCACCAGUGUAAAAAACUGGUGAAGAAAGGGCCGGGCAAGACCGGUGCCAGCCGCCGCGGUAAUACCGGCGGCUCGAGUGGUGGCCGCUUUUACUGGGCUUAAAGGGUCCGUAGCUUGAUUCACAAGUCCCUUGAGAAAUCCAUCGGCUUAACUGAUGGGCGUUCAGGGGAUACUGUGGUUCUAGGGACCGGGAGAGGUGAGAGGUACUGCCGGGGUAGGAGUGAAAUCCUGUAAUCCCGGUGGGACGACCUAUGGCGAAGGCAUCUCACCAGAACGGCUCCGACAGUGAGGGACGAAAGCUGGGGGAGCAAACCGG
rnacentral:rRNA from 1 species